GUUUCUUCCUACAACUGAAUACAGUACUCUUUCAAAACCAUUCUCCAAAGUUCAAAGUAAAUUUUUUAUCAAAGUUCAUAUAUGUCAGCAUGCGGGCAUAGAAUAAUAACCAUAAUGGAAUCAGUGAAAGACUGCACCAACCGGACGUUCAAUCAGUGUGCAAAAUACAACAAAAAUAAAUUAAUAAUAAUAAUAAUAAGAAGAAGUAAAUAAGAAAUAAAUAUUGAGAACAUGAGAUAAAACGUUCUUGAAAGUGAGUCCAUAGGUUGUGGGAACAAUUCAGUGAUGAGGCCAGUGAAGCUAUCCCCUCUAUUUCAAGAGCCUGAUUGUCAAGGGUAAUAAUAGUUCCUGAACCUGGUGCUGUGAGUCCUGAGGCUCCUGUACUUUCUUUCUGAUGGCAGCAGUGAGAAGAGAGCAUGUCCUGGGUGGUGGCAUUCCUUGCUGAUGAAUGCUGCUUUUCUUUGACAACAUUUUGUGUAGAUGUGCUCAAUGGUGGGGAAAUGCUUUACCCGUGAUGGACUGGGCUGUAUCCAUUACUUUUUGUAAGAUUUUCUGUUCAAGGGCAUUCUGAAGUGUGGUUCUGAAACAUCUACUUCAAAAGGAGAUUUAAUUUUCAUACAGAUAUCUCCUUUGGUUAUUGUUUGCAUGUAACUCUUGGGAAGGUGAAGAAUCGAGGUCUCUAUACACUCAGUGAAGCAAGGGAAGCACACAGGAAAAGAGUUUUACAAAGACCUGGUAUCAGUCUUCCCUUGGUCUUCUCACGAACCAAUGCCACUGACCAAGUUUUGGCCUUACAUAAGGAGCUGUCUCCACCUAAGACUUACUCCACCAUCUUACAAGAGUACUUAUCUUCAGCCAUUACUGCCUGGGGGCUGUUUUUUCCCAUUACUUAAAUAACAGCUGUGAUAAGAUGCUGCUUGACCUGCUAAAUUCCUCCAGCAUUUGGUGUGUGUUGUAAUCAAGUCUUCAUUAAGAUCUCCGAAAAAAAUUUGAACCAGAAAUGAAUUCAAGUAAUGGGACAUGCUGCGCUAUUACUGGACAAGAGCACUCCAACAGAUGCCCGCAUCAUACACAUCAAUUCCGAACAAGGAUUUAUUCAGUGCAGUAUGUCCAAUACAUAAAAUGUGAUGUGGGCAGUUCUGGCAAGCCAGUAUUUAUUGACCAUCCCAAAUUACCACUGAUUGAAGAAACAGGCGAAAAUCAAC